UUAUUCGCAGAGUACCGUCAGUGCCGGUAAACCGACAUGUUCUUCCUCUACAAAAGGACUUUACAUUCCGAAGAACUUCAUCAUCCACGAGGCGUUGCUGCGUCAGGCUUUCGCCCAUUGCGCACU
rnacentral:rRNA from 1 species